rnacentral:rRNA from 1 species
GAUGAACGCUGGCGGCGUGCCUAAUACAUGCAAGUCGAGCGAACAGACGAGGAGCUUGCUCCUCUGACGUUAGCGGCGGACGGGUGAGUAACACGUGGAUAACCUACCUAUAAGACUGGGAUAACUUCGGGAAACCGGAGCUAAUACCGGAUAAUAUAUUGAACCGCAUGGUUCGAUAGUGAAAGACGGUUUUGCUGUCACUUAUAGAUGGAUCCGCGCCGCAUUAGCUAGUUGGUAAGGUAACGGCUUACCAAGGCAACGAUGCGUAGCCGACCUGAGAGGGUGAUCGGCCACACUGGAACUGAGACACGGUCCAGACUCCUACGGGAGGCAGCAGUAGGGAAUCUUUCGCAAUGGGCGAAAGCCUGACGGAGCAACGCCGCGUGAGUGAUGAAGGUCUUCGGAUCGUAAAACUCUGUUAUUAGGGAAGAACAAAUGUGUAAGUAACUAUGCACGUCUUGACGGUACCUAAUCAGAAAGCCACGGCUAACUACGUG